rnacentral:rRNA from 1 species
UACGAAGGGGGCAAGCGUUGUCCGGAAUUACUGGGCGUAAAGGGCGUGUAGGCGGAAUGGCAAGUUAGAUGUGAAAGCCCCGGGCUCAACCUGGGAAUUGCAUUUAAGACUGCCAAUCUAGAGUACGGAAGAGGGUCGUGGAAUUCCCAGUGUAGAGGUGAAAUUCGUAGAUAUUGGGAAGAACACCAGCGGCGAAGGCGGCGACCUGGUCCAGUACUGACGCUGAGGCGCGAAAGCGUGGGGAGCAAACAGG